rnacentral:rRNA from 1 species
AUUGAACGCUGGCGGCAUGCCUUACACAUGCAAGUCGAACGGCAGCACGGGAGCUUGCUCCUGGUGGCGAGUGGCGAACGGGUGAGUAAUGCAUCGGAACGUGCCCUGAAGUGGGGGAUAACGUAGCGAAAGUUACGCUAAUACCGCAUAUUCUGUGAGCAGGAAAGCAGGGGACCGCAAGGCCUUGCGCUCUUUGAGCGGCCGAUGUCAGAUUAGCUAGUUGGUGAGGUAACGGCUUACCAAGGCGACGAUCUGUAGCGGGUCUGAGAGGAUGAUCCGCCACACUGGAACUGAGACACGGUCCAGACUCCUACGGGAGGCAGCAGUGGGGAAUUUUGGACAAUGGGGGCAACCCUGAUCCAGCCAUGCCGCGUGAGUGAAGAAGGCCUCGG